rnacentral:rRNA from 1 species
GACGAACCGAGCGAACGUUGUUCGGAAUCACUGGGCUUAAAGGGCGCGUAGGCGGGUUUGAAAGUCUGCGGUGAAAUCCUCCAGCUUAACUGGAGAAGUGCCGUGGAUACUGCAAGCCUCGAGGAGGUAGGGGCAUCUGGAACAGUAGGUGGAGCGGUGAAAUGCGUUGAUAUCUACUGGAACUCCGGUGGCGAAGGCGAGGUGCUGGACCUCUUACUGACGCUGAGGCGCGAAAGCCAGGGGAGCAAACGGG